rnacentral:rRNA from 1 species
UUCUAAGGGCGUUGAAGCAUGAUCGCAAGGACAUGUGGAGCGCUUAGAAGUGAGAAUGCCGGUGUGAGUAGCGAAAGACGGGUGAGAAUCCCGUCCACCGAUUGACUAAGGUUUCCAGAGGAAGGCUCGUCCGCUCUGGGUUAGUCGGGUCCUAAGCUGAGGCCGACAGGCGUAGGCGAUGGAUAACAGGUUGAUAUUCCUGUACCACCAUUAUUCGUUUUAAGCGAUGGGGGGACGCAGUAGGAUAGGCGAAGCGUGCUGUUGGAGUGCACGUCCAAGCAGUGAGAUUGAGUGUUAGGCAAAUCCGGCACUCUUAAGAUUGAGCUGUGAUGGGGAGAGGAACUUGUUCCUCGAGUCGUUGAUUUCACACUGCCGAGAAAAGCCUCUAGCUAGAAUAACGGUGCCCGUACCGCAAACCGACACAGGUAGUCAAGAUGAGAAUUCUAAGGUGAGCGAGCGAACUCUCGUUAAGGAACUCGGCAAAAUGACCCCGUAACUUCGGGAGAAGGGGUGCUCUUUGAGGUUCACGCUUCGAAGAGCCGCAGUGAAUAGGCCCAAGCGACUGUUUAUCAAAAACACAGGUCUCUGCUAAACCGUAAGGUGACGUAUAGGGGCUGACGCCUGCCCGGUGCUGGAAGGUUAAGAGGAGUGGUUAGCGCAAGCGAAGCUACGAAUCGAAGCCCCAGUAAACGGCGGCCGUAACUAUAACGGUCCUAAGGUAGCGAAAUUCCUUGUCGGGUAAGUUCCGACCCGCACGAAAGGCGUAACGAUUUGGGCACUGUCUCAACGAGAGACUCGGUGAAAUCAUAGUACCGGUGAAGAUGCCGGUUACCCGCGACAGGACGGAAAG